rnacentral:rRNA from 1 species
GAUUAACGCUGGCGGCGUGCAUAACACAUGCAAGUCGAACGAAGUGGCGGACGGGUGAGUAACGCGUGAGUAACCUGCCUUAGAGAAGGGGAUAGCCCUUGGAAACGAAGAAUAAUACCCUAUGUUCUAAGAUGGACUUGCGUCUGAUUAGUUAGUUGGUGGGGUAACGGCCCACCAAGACAGCGAUCAGUAGCCGGUUUGAGAGAGUGUACGGCCACAUUGGGACUGAGGCACGGCCCAGACUCUACGGGAGGCAGCAGUGGGGAAUGUUGCACAAUGGGGGAAACCCUGAUGCAGCGACGCCUCGUGAUUUAGAAGGCCUUCGGGUUGUAAAAAUCUUUUCUAUGGGAAGCAGUACCAUAGGAAUAAGGACCAGCUAAUUACGUGCCAGCAGCCGCGGUAAUUC